rnacentral:rRNA from 1 species
UACGAAGGGGGCGAGCGUUGUUCGGAAUUACUGGGCGUAAAGGGCGCGUAGGCGGCGACUCAAGUUAGAUGUGAAAGUCCUGGGCUUAACCUGGGGACUGCAUUUGAUACGGGCAGACUAGAGUGUGGUAGGGGAGAUCGGAAUUCCUGGUGUAGCGGUGAAAUGCGCAGAUAUCAGGAGGAACACCGGUGGCGAAGGCGGUUCUCUGGGCAUUACCUGACGCUGAGGAGCGAAAGUGUGGGGAGCGAACAGG